rfam:Actinobacteria bacterium 13_1_20CM_4_68_12 13_1_20cm_4_scaffold_6789, whole genome shotgun sequence.
GCGGGCGUGGCGGAAUUGGCAAACGCGACGGGUUUAGGACCCGUUGGGCGAAAGCCCUUGGAGGUUCGAGUCCUCUCGCCCGCA